GAAACAGCUUUCUUCCAUCCCUUCAACUUGUAGAUAGUGAUGAAGGUGAGCCUAUAAAUUAAAAAAUUAGGUAACGUUUACCAUUUCAGGAACUUUAAUACAUAAGACUAUCCUAAAAGGUAAAUAUUCCUUAUUAAAAUUAGAGUUCAUUCAGCUCUACAUUUGAAAGAGAACUUGUGUCAAAUUGAAUGAAUCCUAUAAACUCAUGAAUUUUCUCAUUUAGAGUAAAAGUAGCAUGAGUAAGCCUCUCCUCUUCAGUUAUAAUCAGUACAACGCACAUAAUAGAAAACAUCACCCCUGAUUUGUAAUAGUGUAAUUUUUAAGAAUACAUCUUAAAUAGCCAAAAUAAACACAUACAGUUACAAAGCUGUACAAUAAUUACCUUUUUCUUGUAGAGCCUCAUGAAUCUCUCUUUCAGUUCCAUGAAGGUGGGCUUCACACAUGUGUUAUUUGCUAAAGCUAAUAACGAAUGAGAAUGGCCCACAGGAGGUACGGAACACAGGCUGGUCUUCCAGCCUUCUUGAUUCCAGGAGACAAAUUGUAGAGAUGGUUUUAAUCUGAGAUUAAAAAAAAAAAUCUCAGAAGGUGAGAACUAAGGUACUAAAAAUGUCUGCCAUAUAAUGGCAGCUCAUAUUAGUUAAACCAGAACAUUAUGGAUGGUAUCAAUCUACUUGCUUAGUUUAGACGCUAAGUUAUCUAUUUUUUACUAUUGGCAGUAACAUGGUACAGUCUGAUAGUGAACUAAGAGACAUUUUGUAGGGGAACAUUAAAUUGGCUGUGUUGUGAUUCAAGAAGCUAGAAACUCAUUCCUUAAGAGUAGAAAUCUAGGGAUAUAAAGAAAUGAAGGUACUACCAUUUUCCUUACUUUGUAAUUCAACAGACUAGUUUUCUUACAAAUAGAAUGAAAUAGUAACACAAAAAUCAGAAGUAGUAGUAGUACUACUAUAGUAGUACUGGUGGCAGUGGUAAUAAAAAUAGUAUAGCUACGAUUUUCUGAACACUUUCAUAAAAUAAAACAUGUCAUAUAUCAUUUAAGACUCCUAAAUAAAAACCAUGUACUAUUAUUAUCCUUAUUUUACACUUGAAGAAAACAAGGCACAAAGAGACUAAGUAGUUUGUUCACAGUCACACUUUAGUAAGUGGCACUGCUAGAAUUUGAAGGGCGGCUGUUAACUAACUACUAUGCCACACUGUCCCAAGCAGCACACACAAAUUAUCUUUAAAAAUAUAAACCAAACCUUUCAAUAUUUCUACGAAGAUCUGAAAUUUGUACAUUUCCUCUAACCAUGAGUGCACAGGCGAGGUAAAGACUGUGUUUGGGGUCUGCCCGAAGCAGCUGGUGAUCUUUACUAAAGGCAUCUGAAAACAUCUGAUCCAAUCUGCAACAAUGAAAUUGUCAUUGUUUAUACAAAAUAUUACUUCUUUCUAUGUAUAACUAUAAAAUGAAGAUAGUCCUCUAUAAGUAAGAAACCACACUAAAUAUUACACUAACAAAAUAUUAGAUUAUAUAUAUUCUAAAAAUAUUAAAUAACUAUACUUUUCUUGAAGCAAUCUUAAUGAUAUGAGAAGAGAAGAAAUCAUAUAAUAUUUUCUUUUUCUGGGGGAAAAGGCUUCUGCAGUAUAUGGGUGAUUUCAGGUAGCUACAAAAUGUUGACUGUAGCAUUAUGAACUCUAUGUAGUACUGAUUUUUGAAACUUGUAUUAUUAUUACUUAGUUCGGUAUACCUUAUUUAUUUCAUAGUAUCCAAACUACUAAAACUAAUUAAAAGCCUAGAACAUUAAGACUAUUACUUUGUAAAGUAUAUUAUAUCAUAAAUUUUGUUAACAGGAGGAAAUUAUCAAAGGACAAUGUGAAGCUCUCCUAUAAAAGAUGAAACUCCAUAGUAGUUCUCCUAAAAGUAGAGACUUUUAACCUAAGUCUUUUAACUGAAGGAUAAAAGACAAAAGAAAAUAAAGGUGACUGACAAAGUUUAUAUCUAACAAUACACAGACUCCAAUGCUAGGCUGAUGCCAAUGGACAUUUAAUAAUCACCAUGUUGCAUACACUGUGUAUGUUGCUUAGCUUGUUAAGGUCAUCAGCAUCCCAUGCAGAAACGGAGUCCUAUCUAUUAGUUGGCAAAGUGGUCAUUUGCUGUUGGCUUAGAUGAAAACUUACCAAUAUCACUUGUGACAUUCCUGAAGUAUAGAAUUAUCUUGUCAAAACUUUAGUUAUAAAAAAGAAUCUUUAGUUUUCUUUAAAAACUUUUAAAAAAUUAUUUUCAAUCUGUUUUAGAGACAGGGUCUGUCUUCCUUUGUUGCCCAAGCUGGAGUGCAGGAUCAAAAUUAUAGCUCAAUGCAGCCUCAAACUCCUGGGUUCAAGUGAUCCUCCCACUUCAGUCUCCAGAGUAGCUGGGACUACAAGUGCAGACAGGGUCUCACACUAUGUUGCCCCGGCUGGUCUUGAACUCCUGGGCUCAAGUGAUCCUCCCAUCUCAUCCUUUCAAAGUGUUGGAAUUACAGGUGUGAGCCACUGCACUCAGCCAAUUUAGUUUUCCCUUUCUUAUUUACAUACUGUCUCCUUACAGAGUUUGGCAGGACUUUUUCCCUCAGUCAACUGUGAAUGCCACUGUGAACUUUUCAAGCUCAUCAUCAGUAUACAUGCUAAGAGUAUCUUUCAAAACUACAUUUUUUGUUAAGUAUACUGAUGUAAUCUUUAUGCUUAACAAUGACACACAGUUAUAAAGCAAGGUGUUCUGGAAAACAUACAGAGUUACAUCUGAAAUUCUUCUAUGGUACUGGGCUGUGACAGUAGCUUUAAAACAAACUCUCAUUUAAUCUACCCAAUAAGUAUAUGAGGUAGGUACUAUUUCAUUUUUACAGAUGAGAAAAACUAAGAAAGUUUAAGUCACUUGCCCAAAGUCCUGUAGCUAGCGACAGUUAGGAUUCAAAUGUGUUUGUCAGACUUCAAAGGACUUUUCAUAAGCCUACAAAUUUAAUCAUUAGAUUUAAGUUCAAAUAGUUUAAUACUGGCAUUUUUCAACAAUUACUUCUAAAUAAAGAUGCAUUCAUCUAAUGCAAAAAUGGAUGUCAUCAACUCUCACAGAUAAGAUGAUACAAUUAAAUAACUAGAGUUAUUGCAAACUUUUUUCUCUUAAAAAUGUUUUUUAAAGUAAUUUGAGGCCUCAAAAAAUUGAAACAAAGUUACACCUUACCUUCUAGGAGGAAUGUUAACAUCUGUCAGUGUAUACAGAGGUGUUAGGCUUGACACGAGAUAAUGAAGUUGAGGAAAAGGAACUAAAUUCAUGCUGAUUUCAUUAAGGUCCAUAUUAAGGGACCCUUCAAAUCUUGCAGAGCUAAAAAGUUAACAUUAAAAUGAGAAAAUUUUUAAUUUUAAAAUUAUACACUUUAAAUGUAGCUCGAUUUAUUCAGCAGGUAGUUUCUUAAAUUCUUUUGUACACUGUUCUUCAGUGCAGAACACAUGCUUUUCUUCCAUAUUAGUGAAAGUUAGUAUCAGAACAAUCAUGUAUAAAAUAAAAUAUAACACACAACAUCUACAUUUUUUUUUUCUUUCUUUUUUUUUUUUUUUUGAGACAGGGUCUCGCUCUGGUUGCCCAGGCUGGAGUGUAGUGGUGUGAUCUCAGCUCACUGCAACCGCCGCCUCCCAUCUCAGCCUCCUGAGCAGCUGAGACUACAGUAGGCAUACAACACCUUGCCUGGCUAAUUUUUGUAUUUUUUGUAGAUAUGGGAUUUUACCAUGUGCCCCAGGCUGAUCUCCAGCUCCUGGGCUCAAGCAAUCUACCUGCCUUGGCCUCCUAAUGUGCUGAGAUUUACAGGCAUGAGCCACCAUGGCUGGCCCUACAGUCAUUCUUUCUGGAUUAUCUGAAGUGUAAUCAAUAUACUAUUAUAGUUGCUCAUUACACAUAUAAAAAUAUCCUAUUUAAAACAAACUUUAUAUUUGAGUUAAACACAUAUAAGUCAAUAAUUAGUAACUGUAGAAACAACUAAUUUCCUCAAGAAUCUGCUUAAUAUACUCUAUAAUCUAGAAUAUAAUAAUGUCAAAGCAAUCUCUGAUACCAAAAAGCCACAGAAAUCUUUUGGACCAGUUAAUGAGGAGGUACAGAUUAGUUGGUUUAAAUGAUUAAGACAUUCUACAGCUAAAAAAUGUUUAAUUUUGUCUACGUGUUUUACAAGUGUGUCAACCACAAAAUCUUUUACAUCAUAUGAUAUCUGUUCAUAUUCCAUGGAACAUACUUGGGGAAAUGCUGCUUUGGAGUCAUAGAAGGUAAAAUUCUGCGUGAUCACUCCAAGAAAAGAUAGAAGACAAAAUAAAAACAGAAGCAGCUUCUACAAUUUAGAAUAACUAAAAAAUGCUACUACAAAAAUUCAAAAUAUCUCCAAAAGCACAAUAAAGUUUUUUGACUAUCCCUGGAUAGAAUUACCUCGUUAGGUUGAGGAGCAAAUUUGCCACAAUGUUAUUCAUUGCAUCAAAGGGCUUCUUAUGCUGCUUUUUUAAAGCCCCAGAACUUGAAGUAACCAGACUCUUUGGCUUCACAGUUGUACCCAACUUUCCAGAAUUCACCAUGAGGUCGAUUUUGCUAAUGAUGUCAAAUAAAGACUUUUGAGGGAAAAACAUUGGGAGAGAAGCUAUUAAGAAGAGUGGAUGUAGAUGAUAUUCUACUAGGAAAGAGAAAGAAAAACAAUUUAAACUGAUUUUUUCUCUAAGAAGGCUGAAAAGUGAAGAGAACGUUUCAUAUAAACACACAUACAUAAUACAGGACUGAAUAUAUAUAACAUUUAUUCAUAAGUUCCAAUGUCAUUUCUUACUUGAUUGUCAAUGGGCAAUACACAGUCUGCAUGCUCAUUAAGUUCCUUCAUUGCCAAGAUGCUAUUAUAAGGUGAGGUUAUGACAUCAUCCUCACCAGAAGGAUAAAUGGAAGUCACAAAUCUGUAUACUUCUGGGAAUUCGUCUUCAAGCACCUUUAAAAGAAAUGUGCCAAGUCCAGAUCCUGUUCCUGAGGAUUAAAGUGUUUUUAAAAAUUAGCAUAAAUGAUUCAGAAUAUAAUUGUGAAGAAUUUGAAACUUUAUUUUUUUUGAGACAGGGUCUUGCUCUGUCACCCAGGCUGGAGUGCAGCAGCAUAAUCAGCUCAAUGCAGCCUUGACCUCCUAGGGUCAAAUGAUCCUCCUGCCUCAGCCUCCCAAGUAUCUGGGACCGCAGGCAUGAGCCACCACGCCUGGCUAACUUUUUAAUUUGUGUAGAGAUAGGGUCUACCUAUGUUGCCCAGGCUGGUCUUGAACUCCUAGGUUCAAGCAAGCUUCUGCCUUGGCCUCCCAAAGUGCUGGAAUUACAGGCAUGAGCCACCACACCUGGUCAGAAUUUAUAUUUGUAAAAAUAAUUUUCAGCUUAUUUCUGUGAUUAUAUAUUAACUAAUCUAAUUUUGGAUAAGGAAAUGAAGGCAACAUUCAGGAAAUGAAGUCCUGAAUUCCAUCUUUGGUUCUGACAGUGAGUUUGGGAGGGCCGUCUAUAUCUCACUCCUUUUCAUAUUUAAGUUAUACCUAUAUAAUGCCACAAGAACCAAUUGCACAUGCACAAGUAAAAAAUUCAACUAAGACGGUGUUCAGUCUACAUUUGAUAUUAAGCAACUUAAGAAAACUAACUUGACAGCUUUAGUGUAGUGUGUAUAUAAUCUUGAUGAAAAAAACUAUCAUGUCAUCAAGCAACUUAAACAGAGUUAAAACUGUUUACAAUUAAGCAUGCCUACCUCGAAUUUCAAAAAUUUUCAAAUAUGAAACACUACUUAUUUAAAAGCAGAAACUCGAGGAAUCUCAUUAAAGAUAACUUUCUGAUACAUCAAGUUACAUUUACAUAAAUUCAGAAAUUUUUCAGAACUUAAAACUGGAAUCCUCUAAUCCGAUGUUUUUCAAACUGGGUUCUGAACUAUUAGUAGGCUAUGAAACUAAUGAACAGAUUAGUACUGUUUUCUUAAAUGAAACAGUAGAAAAUAACAUGUCAGAUGUAGUAUGAGUAAAUAACAUUUUCUUAAUAUAUUUUUUCAUGUGUGUAUGCUGCAUUGUGAUAUAUAAAAUGUAUUUCAUACUAUUCUGGUUAAAAAAAACUUUAAACACCAAUGUUCUAAUCCAUGCAGAUAACUAUUAAAAGGCUAUGAUGCUAAAAAUACUAAGUCAAAGUGAGGGAGAUUCUUGGGGUGAUCUUUAAUGAGAAGGACUUUCUAAGCGUCACAAAAAAACCAGAGCCAUUACAGAAGAGACAGUUUUGAUUUCAUUAAAAAUAAACAAAACUUCUAUAUAUACUUAAAAAAACCCAUAAAAAAUAACAAGACAAACUUACAAAAAAACCCUUCAAUACAUAUGAUGGGAAGGACUAAGUUUCUCUAAGAAAGAGUUCCCACAAAUCAACAACAAAAAAUACGAAUAAUGCCACCACGAAAUGGGCAAAGGAUAGAAACAUUUAACUCAUAAUAAAAGAAAUACAAAUUGCAAAUAGAAGUAAAGAUGCUCAACCUUUCUUCUAAUUAAGGAAAUACAAAUUAAAACUAAAUACAAUUUUGAAUAUAAUAGAUUUAUGUCUCAUGAUACUCAGUAUUGGUGCUAGUGUAGGGAAAUAGAAACUCAUACACAUUGUUGCCAGUAAGAAGCACUGGUGCAAUAUUGUAGGAAGGUAUAUAGGUAAUAUCAGCCAAAAUUUAAAAUGUACAUAUGCUUUGGUCCUAUCUUUUUCUUAGGAAUACUGUCUAAAGCUAUAGUGGCACAAAUACAGAAGUAUUUGUCCCAGACUUUCACUGAUGAUUGGAUGUAAAAACUAAACACCAUAAACACUUAAUACCCAUAAAUAACAAACUCACUUUAAACUGUAUAAUUGAUUCUAUGACAGAGAGCUGAUAUGGAAAGAUGUCUGAGAAAGAGAUAAAGUGGAAAAGUUACAGUAUAGUAUAUAUUGGAUAAUCUUGUUUAUGUAAAAAUAUACAUACAUGCUUUGAUAGGCAUAGAAUAUAUCUGAAAGAACAGACAUAAAAAGACCCUGCAAACCUGAUCAUCUGUAAGGACAGGGAGUAGGCAUUAGAUGUGGGGAAAAAAGAACUUUACUUUUAACCUUUAGUAUUAAUAUUUAUUUUUGCUAUUUUAAGUGAAUUGUAAGUAUGUUCUUCUGAGAUGUUGGGUAGUAAAGGUAUUUUUUAAAAAGGUAUAACGAACUAUAAAUCAAAUAAAAAGCUAGCUCAAAUUUGCAGGUUAAUUAUACUAGCACAGAAACAAAUUUGUUUCUUAACCGAUGAUUAUGAGGAUCUUUUAAAGACAUGGUUACACAGCAAUUUUAACUUUUAAUCUUAAAAUGCUAUGUCAAUGAAUAAUAUGUAUAAAAAUCAACUGUACAUACACCUAACUUGCUGAAUAUAAAAUCUUAAUCUCAGGUUGGAGGAAAAAAGUGUGACCAUUUUGUUCUUUUAAAAUUUGCUAAGCGUAUUUAAAAAUCAGCAAGUUACAUUCUGUUUCUAUUUUUACAGAACAGGGGAGCAAAAUACUUCAGUUCUAAGGUAUAGACUUCCCUGGGGGAAGAAAGCAAUGCCAAUCAUUUAUUUUUACUUCAAGUUGAUUAAUUGCCAUGUAAUAAAUGAUCUAAAGGAAUUGACUAAACUAGUUUCCUUUUUUUUCUCUUUUUGGAGACAAGAAAGGUUUGAAGAUGGUUAAAGAAAGGGUAUUAAUAUCCUUUGGCAAGCACACAUCAUGAGCACGUCAAAAAUGCUUCACUCUAGGAAAUAGGACUGUACAGGCAAACUCUAAGGAGAAAGUCAGCAUUUCUCAAAAGCUCAUACAUCCUGAAAAGUAUCUGAAUGUUCUGUAAAAGAAACUAAAGGUACAAGAAAAAAAAUUUUCCAGUAUAGUUCUGUUGACUCUUAAGAGGGCUUACAUUAAAAAAAAAAAAAAAGAAAAGAAAAGAAAAUAGUGACAUAAUUCCACA
rnacentral:lncRNA from 1 species